GCCAGGCGUGGUGGUGCACGCCUGUGAUCCCAGGGCUCUGGAGGCUGAGGCAGGAGGAUCGCAUGUUUGAGGCCAGCCUCAGCAACUUAGUGAGACCCUGUCUCUA
rnacentral:sRNA from 1 species